GGAUGAACGCUAGCGGCAGGCCUAAUACAUGCAAGUCGUACGGCAACACAGUUGCGAGCAAUCGCAACCGGUGGCGAGUGGCGCACGGGUGAGUAACGCGUAUGUAACCUACCCUUCUCCGGGACAUAACUCCGCGAAAGCGGUGCUAAUAUCCCAUACCAACUCAUCAAGACAUCUUCUUGAGUUGAAAGCAGCAAUGCGGUGAAGGAUGGGCAUGCGUCCCAUUAGCUGGUUGGUGAGGUAAUGGCCCACCAAGGCUACGAUGGGUAGGGGUUCUGAGAGGAAAGCCCCCCACACUGGUACUGAGACACGGACCAGACACCUACGGGUGGCAGCAGUAGGGAAUAUUAGUAAUGGGCGAAAGCCUGAACUAGCAACGCCGCGUGUGCGAAGAAGGCCUUCGGGUUGUAAAGCACUUUUUGAGAGGAUGAGGAAGGACGGUACUCUCAGAAUAAGUCUCGGCUAACUACGUGCCAGCAGCCGCGGUAACACGUAGGAGGCAAACGUUAUCCGGAUUUACUGGGCGUAAAGCGCGUGUAGGUGGUUUGGUAAGUAGGGCGUGAAAGCUCCUGGCUCAACUGGGAGAGGACGUUCUAAACUGCCAAGCUUGAGGAUGGUAGAGGGAGGUGGAAUUCCGGGUGUAGCGGUGGAAUGCGCAGAUAUCCGGAGGAACACCAGUGGCGAAGGCGGCCUCCUGGACCACUCCUGACACUCAGACGCGAAAGCUAGGGUAGCAAACGGGAUUAGAGACCCCGGUAGUCCUAGCCCUAAACGAUGUAGACUUGGCGUCGGUGGUUUAAUCGCCAUCGGUGUCGUAGCUAACGCGUUAAGUCUACCGCCUGGGGACUACGGCCGCAAGGUUAAAACUCAAAGGAAUUGACGGGUCCCCGCACAAGCAGCGGAGCGUGUGGUUUAAUUCGAUGCUACACGAAGAACCUUACCUGGGUUUGACAUAGAGGUAGUAGGGAAGCGAAAGCGGACCGACCCUUCGGGGAGCCUCUACAGGUGUUGCAUGGCUGUCGUCAGCUCGUGUCGUGAGAUGUUCGGUUAAGUCCGCUAACGAGCGCAACCCUCGCUGUGUGUUACAAGUGUCACACGGUACUGCCGAUAUUAAGUCGGAGGAAGGUGGGGAUGACGUCAAGUCAGCAUGACCGUUAUAUCCAGGGCUACACACACGCUACAAUGGCCAGUACAAUGGGUUGCCAAGCCGCGAGGCGAAGCCAAUCCUAAAAAGCUGACCUCAGUUCAAAUUGCAGUCUGCAACUCGACUGCAUGAAGUUGGAGUUGCUAGUAACCGCAGGUCAGCAAUACUGCGGUGAAUACGUUCCCGGGGAU
rnacentral:rRNA from 1 species